GAUCCUGGCUUAGGAUGAACGCUAGCUACAGGCUUAACACAUGCAAGUCGAGGGGUAGCAGGGUAGCAAUACCGCUGACGACCGGCGCACGGGUGAGUAACACGUAUCCAACCUUCCCAUAACUCAGGGAUAGCCUUUCGAAAGAAAGAUUAAUACCUGAUAGUACUUUUUCAAGGCAUCUUGAGAAAGUUAAAGAUUUAUUGGUUAUGGAUGGGGAUGCGUUCCAUUAGAUAGUUGGUGAGGUAACGGCUCACCAAGUCUUCGAUGGAUAGGGGUUCUGAGAGGAAGGUCCCCCACAUUGGUACUGAGACACGGACCAAACUCCUACGGGAGGCAGCAGUGAGGAAUAUUGGUCAAUGGGCGAGAGCCUGAACCAGCCAAGUAGCGUGAAGGAAUGAAGGUCCUAUGGAUUGUAAACUUCUUUUAUAGUAGAAUAAAGUGAUCCACGUGUGGAUUUUUGUAUAUAUACUAUGAAUAAGGAUCGGCUAACUCCGUGCCAGCCGCGGC
rnacentral:rRNA from 1 species